rnacentral:lncRNA from 1 species
CGGAUUUGUAGAGUCCAAUGGAGUAGACAUGGUGAAGAAGAAGCUACUUGGGAACGUGAGGAUGCGUUGAAGAAGGAGUUUCCCUAUCUUUUCAGGAUUCAGCCAAAUCUGGAGGACGAGAUUCAAUUUAAGUGGGGUAGGUUUAUAACAUCCGUAAAAUUCACUAACUCAAAUCAUUCUAUAAAAAAUUGUCUUCAAAAUCUUUUGACCGUUGAGCUCCGGGAAUUUCUUUUCUUACUGACGACUUUGCCGUCCCGGCACCCAACGCCAACAACCAUCUUUUUCUUCCUCCACAAAUUUCACCACGUGCCCGUCAAAAAUUCGUCGCGCGUGCCCGACCGUUUUCCGCAUUUUUCACCAACUCUCCCUUUCUUCUCUCUCUUUCUUUUUCCCUUUUCCCUUUUUUUCACUUUUUUUCUUUUCCUUCUCUCUUUCUUCCUUCUUCUUCCUUCCUCCUCCUCCUUCUUCCUUCCUCUUUCUCCUUUCUUCCUGGCCGAGCACACGCUAGCCCCUCCCCUGGCGCCUACUCCUCCCCUAGCUGGCCCCAGUGCCACUCCCCCACGCCGGCACCUCUCCCUGGCUGCCCGACACCCAGCCCCACAAGCCUCAUCCUCCACGCCGUAGCUCUCAUUCCACAUGCUGCGCCGGCCCCCGACCGCACGCCGGCCAUCACUCGUCGCCCCUUUCCAUGCUGACCAUCGCUCUGUGUGCCCUGUGCUCCUUGCUGCCUGAGCCCGGCCCUGUCUCGCCCUCCACGUGGAGCUCCACUUCGCCACGCUGCUGGCCGAGAAUCUCGGCCGCCAUUAAAACGCCUCGCCGGCCACCGGCCCCUGCCACCCCUAUGCGCCGCUCGCCCCGCUCCCUCCUACCACCUAUAAAAGGGGGCCAAGGCCUGGCCUCCUCCCACACCACCAACGCCACCUCCCCCUGCACCCCAAGCGCCGUCCUUCCCCUACACGCCACCCGUCCACGCUGAAGCUCUGGCCGCCCCUACCCGCGCCGGCCCCUUCACUUCCCAUCAUCGAUUUGCCAAGGUGAGGGCCAAAAUGGAGUCCCCACGGCCCCCUCUACCUUUCCCCGCCACCAAUCCUCACCGCCGGCAAGCCUAGGCUGGCCGGCCACCACCGGUUUCCCCUCCUCCCCAUCUCUAUGUCACGGUCCAGGGAAGAAGAAGGCAAAAUUCCCUCCAAUUUUAAUCUAACCCCCUCCUCCUCCAUAUUCACAAACCAGCCCUCCCACCUCUCUCAAAGUUCUCUUGCAAGUAUUCCCUUCCACCUUCUAGAAAUUUUCAUGAAUAGGUCUCUGGUUCUCGCAGUUUAGUCCUAAAACUUGUUUUAAGCCCCUAAUACAUGGUUAUCUUAUCAUUUCAUGCGUCAAACUUCCUCCAAUUAAUCCCAAAUUCGCCCACGGCAUCCUCCAAUAUACUUCCGCUGAGUCAUCCCCAAAUUUCAUGAAAAUACUCAUUCCUUCUAUUUCUCAUUCGCGUUCUCUAUUCGAGCUCAACGGGUAAAGCUUUAAUUUUCUUUUAUUUAUUGUGUGCCCGAUUGUGUGAGCUGUAGAUCGUGGAGUACCCGAGGAGGAGCACGAGGAGGAGUUUGGAUGCAAGCCCGAACCCGAAGACCAGCAUUGCGAGCAAGAACUCCCGGAAGACUUUGAGGACGGCAAGUCCAAUCUCACCCUAUUGGCCUGUUUAUAAAAUUGCAUAUUGUUUUACUGCUGAAACAUGGUUGGAUAGCCACCCCUUGAUUGUUAUGAUUAUUC